rnacentral:sRNA from 1 species
UAACAUAAAUUUCCUACUAUUAGCAGAUA